GAUGAACGCUGGCGGCAUGCCUAACACAUGCAAGUCUACUAGAUGAAAUGUAAGCAAUUACUUUUUGAUCUGGUGGCGGACGGGUGAGUAACACGUAAACGACCUACCCCUUAGACUGGGAUAACUUACCGAAAGGUAAGCUAAUACCGGAUAGUCUUUUUCCUCACAAGAGGUCAAAGUAAAGCAUAUGCGCUGAGGGAGGAGUUUGCGCACCAUUAGCUAGUUGGUAGGGUAAAAGCCUACCAAGGCUACGAUGGUUAGCCGGCCUGAGAGGGUGUACGGCCACAAUGGAACUGAGAACGGUCCUUACUCCUACGGGAGGCAGCAGUGGGGAAUAUUGCGCAAUGGGCGAAAGCCUGACGCAGCAAUGCCGCGUGGAUGAAGACGGCCUUCGGGUUGUAAAGUCCUUUUAGCAGGGAAGAAUAUUUGACGGUACCUGCAGAAAAAGCCACGGCUAAUUACGUGCCAGCAGCCGCGGUAAGACGUAAGUGGCAAGCGUUAUCCGGAAUUACUGGGUGUAAAGGGAGUGUAGGUGGUUGCGUAAGUCAGAAGUUAAAACGCCAGGCUUAACCUGGUCGGUGCUUUUGAAACUGCAUAACUAGAGUAUGGGGGAGGAAGACGGAAUUAUCACUGUAGCGGUGGAAUGCGUAGAUAGUGAUAGGAACGCCGACGACGAAGGUAGUCUUCUAGACCAAUACUGACACUGAGGCUCGAAAGCUAGGGGAGCAAACAGGAUUAGAUACCCUGGUAGUCCUAGCUGUAAACGAUGGAUACUAGGUGGAAGAGAUAACAUCUUUUCUGCCGAAGCUAACGCAUUAAGUAUCCCACCUGGAGAGUACGAUCGCAAGGUUGAAACUCAAAGGAAUUGACGGGGACCCGCACAAGCGGUGGAGCAUGUGGUUUAAUUCGAUGAUACACGAGGAACCUUACCAGAGCUUGACAUUUGUGGGAAUCUGCCUUAAUAGGUAGAGUGCCUCCCGCAAGGGAGGAACCCAUAGAACAGGUGGUGCAUGGCUGUCGUCAGCUCGUGCCGUGAGGUGUUGGAUUAAGUUCCGCAACGAGCGCAACCCCUUUGUCUAGUUACUAACAUUAAGUUGAGAACUCUAGACAGACUGUCUGCGAGAGCAGAAGGAAGGUGGGGACGACGUCAAGUCAUCAUGCCCCUUAUGUUCUGGGCUACACACGUGCUACAAUGGGGAGUACAAAGAGUUGCUAAGCAGCAAUGCGGAGCCAAUCUCAUAAAGCUUCUCCCAGUUCGGAUUGCAGUCUGAAACUCGACUGCAUGAAGCCGGAAUCGCUAGUAAUCGCGAAUCAGCUAUGUCGCGGUGAAUACGUUCUCGGGUCU
rnacentral:rRNA from 1 species